rnacentral:rRNA from 1 species
AGCAGCCGCGGUAAUUCCAGCUCCAAUAGCGUAUAUUAAAGUUGUUGCAGUUAAAAAGCUCGUAGUUGAAUUUCGGGGUUAGUAGGUUGGUCGUGCCACUGGUACGUACUGGUCUCACUAAUUCCUCCUUCCUGAUGAACUGUAAUGCCAUUAAUUUGGUGUUGCAGGGAAACUGGACUGUUACUUUGAAAAAAUUAGAGUGUUUAAAGCAAGCUAACGCUUGAAUACAUUAGCAUGGAAUAAUGAAAUAGGACGUUCGAUCCUAUUUUGUUGGUUUCUAGGAUUGACGUAAUGAUUAAUAGGGAUAGUUGGGGGCAUUAGUAUUCAAUUGUCAGAGGUGAAAUUCUUGGAUUUAUUGAAGACUAAUUACUGCGAAAGCAUUUGCCAAGGAUGUUUUCAUUAAUCAAGAACGAAAGUUAGGGGAUCGAAGACGAUCAGAUACCGUCGUAGUCUUAACCAUAAACUAUGCCGACUAGGGAUCGGAUGAUGUUAAUUUUUUAAUGACUCAUUCGGCGCCUUA